rnacentral:rRNA from 1 species
UGGGGAAUUUUGGACAAUGGGGGCAACCCUGAUCCAGCCAUGCCGCGUGAGUGAAGAAGGCCUUCGGGUUGUAAAGCUCUUUCGGCGGGGACGAAACGGUCCGUGACAACACCACGGACUAAUGACAGUACUCGCAGAAGAAGCACCGGCUAACUACGUGCCAGCAGCCGCGGUAAUACGUAGGGUGCAGGCGUUAAUCGGAAUUACUGGGCGUAAAGCGUGCGCAGGUGGCUCCUUAAGUCAGAUGUGAAAUCCCCGGGCUUAACCUGGGAACUGCACUUGUGACUGCAUAGCUGGAGUACGGCAGAGGGGGAUGGAAUUCCGCGUGUAGCAGUGAAAUGCGUAGAUAUGCGGAGGAACACCGAUGGCGAAGGCAGUCCCCUGGGCCUGUACUGACGCUCAUGCACGAAAGCGUGGGGAGCAAACAGGAUUAGAUACCCCAGUAGUCCCUGAGCGGGCUGGCAAGGCGCAU